rnacentral:rRNA from 1 species
CACUGAUUAUUUAAAGAGCCGCGGUAUUUUGACUGUGCAAAGGUAGCAUAAUCAUUAGUAUAUUAAUUGUAUACUGGAAUGAAAGGUUUGACGAGAAAAAUACUGUCUCUAUUUAAUUUAUAUAAUUUUACUUUCUAGUGAAAAGGCUGGAAUUUUUUUUUAGGACGAUAAGACCCUAUAGAGUUUUAUUUUUUUAUUUGCUAUAUAAUUUGUUUUAUUUUUUUUAUUUAGUAUAUAUUUAAUUUUGUUGGGGUGAUGUGAAUAAUAGUUAAACUAUUCAUUAAUUUUUUUCAUUGAUUUAUGUUAUUUUUGAUCCUUUAUUAUUGAUUUUAAGAUUAAAUUACCUUAGGGAUAACAGCGCAAUUAUUUUUGAGAGUUCUUAUUGAUAAAAUAGAUUGUGACCUCGAUGUUGGAUUAAGGUUAUUAUUUGGGUGAAGAUGCUUAAAUUAUUGGUCUGUUCGACCAUU